rnacentral:rRNA from 1 species
GUAGGCCUACACAUGCAAGUCGAACGGCAGCACAGGAGAGCUUGCUCUCUGGGUGGCGAAGUGGCGGACGGGUGAGGAAUGCAUCGGAAUCUACUCUGUCGUUGGGGGGAUAACGUAGGGAAACUUACGCUAAUUACCGCAUACCACUAACGGGUGAAAAGCAGGGGGAACCUUCGGGCCUUUGCCCAAUUUAUUUAACCCCCUUUCCCCCUUUACUUUUUUUGGGGGGGGGUAAAAGGCCCCCCAAAAGGGGAAAAUUUCUUAUUUGUUCCCAAAAAAAAAUAA